CGGCACUGACCUAAGAUAUAGGGCCACAGGUGAGCAGUUGGCCUUAGGCAGGUCACAACGAUGAUGUAUGCAAAUGAGGUGUAGCGGCUCUAGAGACAGGUAUAUAAAUGACUUGCGACACCCUAGCUGAAUCUUUCCCCAGCAUCUGAUAUCGAUUGUUCAAUCCGGGACUCUUUUUCUACAUUCAUAUUUCAAGUUAUCCUUUGCAUCUAACAAAAUGUCGACGCUCCGGGUCCUCAUCGUGGUUUUUCUGGUGUUCUCGUUUCUGGCCGUGACCAUGGCGCAGUCUGACAAUUUAGCUGCGUGGUACUUCUUGAUGAACAACAACAACAACAACAACAGGAACAGAGGAACGUUUGGAAGCAGACGUAGUCCACUCCCGGGCCUGAUGCAGUGGUUAAUGCUGGACAAUUUGGAUUACAUUUAGCGGAAUUAUCGGAUUGCUGAAAUUCCAAUCUACUUUCGAAAAUGACUUUGGAGUUGGUUUGAAGACAAAGGCACAAACAUAUUAUUCAUGUUCAUCUACUUCCAUGUAAUCAUUAUUUUGUAUGUACGGGCAAAAAUACGUCGUUCAAUCAUUGUCCAUCCAAAGAUGAUGUUUUAAUACUGUCAUAAAUGUAUGAGAAGGUUUACUCUAAUCUGGAAACCAUUCAUUUCAAGAUUUUGGAUGUUCAGAAAACAUUUUAGAUCCAGUGUAAGCACACUGACCCCAUUCAGCUCAGAGUAAUAUUUCACAAAAGAAAACGUAAGCUUAUAACAAAACAAUUGUAAUAGUCUAAUAGCUAUCAUAUUAUUAUAUAACAUGUAUGCUAUAUAAGACCACUUUCAAAUGACGCGUUGAUAAGUAUUUCUUACUUAUGUAGUUCAAUGUAGACUCCUUUGUAUAAAGCUUCCUGUAGUAUUUAUUUCAUAACUUUAGUUUCGCCAUAAAGCACCCCAUAACAGUCUUUAAUCAAACACCCACCAUCAAUCCGCGUUCUACCGCUUGUCAUUUCUAGUAUCUUUAACGUAGAACAAAAUGUGGUAUUUGUUUUGAAUAUUACGCCCAAUGGGACGAAAACAAACUUACGAGCUCAGCAUCUUUGUUAAAGGUACUUCACAAAAAUAUAUUUUGCCAAAGUUAAAUAUAUUUCAAAGGAUAUUUGUCUUUAUUUCGAUGUGUCAUAUAACUUCAAUUCUUAAUCUAAAAUAUUAUAAAGAUGGUUAAGAAGUCUAAAUCGUUAUGUGAUUCUUUUCGCUGAAGGGCACACAUUUCGGUAGAAGCAAUAAUAUAGUGCUAUGUGAAUAUUGAUUUUUCACUUGGAAAUUUAAUGUAACUAACAUUGUGUCACUCAUAUUCUUGUACAUAACAUUGUAUCAAUAAAUAGUUGAGUGAU